rnacentral:rRNA from 1 species
GGGCAAUCUGCCCUGCACUCUGGGACAAGCCCUGGAAACGGGGUCUAAUACCGGAUACUGAUCAUCUUGGGCAUCCAAGGUGUUCGAAAGCUCCGGCGGUGCAGGAUGAGCCCGCGGCCUAUCAGCUUGUUGGUGAGGUAAUGGCUCACCAAGGCGACGACGGGUAGCCGGCCUGAGAGGGCGACCGGCCACACUGGGACUGAGACACGGCCCAGACUCCUACGGGAGGCAGCAGUGGGGAAUAUUGCACAAUGGGCGAAAGCCUGAUGCAGCGACGCCGCGUGAGGGAUGACGGCCUUCGGGUUGUAAACCUCUUUCAGCAGGGAAGAAGCGAAAGUGACGGUACCUGCAGAAGAAGCGCCGGCUAACUACGUGCCAGCAGCCGCGGUAAUACGUAGGGCGCGAGCGUUGUCCGGAAUUAUUGGGCGUAAAGAGCUCGUAGGCGGCUUGUCGCGUCGGUUGUGAAAGCCCGGGGCUUAACCCCGGGUCUGCAGUCGAUACGGGCAGGCUAGAGUUCGGUAGGGGAGAUCGGAAUUCCUGGUGUAGCGGUGAAAUGCGCAGAUAUCAGGAGGAACACCGGUGGCGAAGGCGGAUCUCUGGGCCGAUACUGACGCUGAGGAGCGAAAGCGUGGGGAGCGAACAGGAUUAGAUACCCUGGUAGUCCACGCCGUAAACGGUGGGCACUAGGUGUGGGCAACAUUCCACGUUGUCCGUGCCGCAGCUAACGCAUUAAGUGCCCCGCCUGGGGAGUACGGCCGCAAGGCUAAAACUCAAAGGAAUUGACGGGGGGCCCGCACAAGCGGCCGGAGCAUGUGGGCUUAUUUCGACGC